UUUCUACUCCCUCCGUCCAAAAAUACUUGUCAUCAAAAUGGAUAAAAAGAGAUGUAUCUAAAACUAAAAUACGUCUAGAUACAUUUCCUUUUAUCCAUUUUGAUGACAAGUAUUUUCGGAUGGAGGGAGUAUUUG
rfam:Triticum aestivum genome assembly, contig: Triticum_aestivum_CS42_TGACv1_scaffold_201299_3AL